rnacentral:rRNA from 1 species
CACCUACGGGUGGCAGCAGUGGGGAAUUUUGCGCAAUGGAGGAAACUCUGACGCAGCGACGCCGCGUGGGUGACGAAGGCCUUCGGGUUGUAAAGCCCUGUCGGCUGGGAACAAGAUAGUCGUGCUAAUACCACGAUUGUUUGAGGGUACCAGCAAAGGAAGCACCGGCUAACUCUGUGCCAGCAGCCGCGGUAAUACAGAGGGUGCUAGCGUUGUUCGGAAUUACUGGGCGUAAAGCGCGCGUAGGCGGCUUACCAAGUCAGAUGUGAAAUUUCGGGGCUUAACUCCGAACGUGCAUUUGAAACUGGUAGGCUAGAGUGCAUUAGAGGAUGGUGGAAUACACAGUGUAGAGGUGAAAUUCGUAGAUAUUGUGUGGAACACCGGUGGCGAAGGCGGCCAUCUGGGAUGUAACUGACGCUGAGGUGCGAAAGCGUGGGGAUCAAACAGGAUUAGAUACCCUGGUAGUCCACGCUGUAAACGAUGGAUACUCGCUGUGGUUGGUAUAGACCCCGACCGUAGCCAAGCUAACGCGAUAAG